rnacentral:rRNA from 1 species
GGUCAAGCGAAUAAGCGCACACGGUGGAUGCCUAGGCGGUCAGAGGCGAUGAAGGACGUGGUAGCCUGCGAAAAGUGUCGGGGAGCUGGCAACAAGCUUUGAUCCGGCAAUGUCCGAAUGGGGAAACCCACUGCUUCGGCAGUAUCCUGCAGUGAAUUCAUAGCUGCUGGAAGCGAACCCGGUGAACUGAAAUAUCUAAGUAACCGGAGGAAAAGAAAUCAACCGAGAUUCCCUGAGUAGUGACGAGCGAACGGGGAACAGCCCUUAAGCUGGAAUGGCUUUAGAAAAACAAUCUGGAAAGAUUGGCCAUAGAAGGUGAUAGCCCUGUAUUUAAAAGGGCCACUCCAGUGAAGACGAGUAGGGCGGGGCACGUGAAACCCUGUCUGAAUAUGGGGGGACCAUCCUCCAAGGCUAAAUACUCCUGACCGACCGAUAGUGAACCAGUACCGUGAGGGAAAGGCGAAAAGAACCCCGGAGAGGGGAGUGAAAUAGAUCCUGAAACCGUGUGCGUACAAGCAGUAGGAGCUCGCAAGAGUGACUGCGUACCUUUUGUAUAAUGGGUCAGCGACUUACUGUUCGUGGCAAGCUUAACCGUAUAGGGGAGGCGAAGGGAAACCGAGUCUGAUAAGGGCGCAUAGUCGCGGGCAGUAGACCCGAAACCGGGUGAUCUAGUCAUGGCCAGGGUGAAGGUGCCGUAACAGGUACUGGAGGCCCGAACCCACGUCUGUUGCAAAAGACGGGGAUGAGCUGUGAUUAGGAGUGAAAAGCUAAUCGAACCCGGAGAUAGCUGGUUCUCCUCGAAAGCUAUUUAGGUAGCGCCUCGGACGAAUACUACUGGGGGUAGAGCACUGUUAUGGCUAGGGGGUCAUCGCGACUUACCAAACCAUUGCAAACUCCGAAUACCAGUACGUACUAUCCGGGAGACACACGGCGGGUGCUAACGUCCGUCGUGAAAAGGGAAACAACCCAGACCCACAGCUAAGGUCCCAAAUUCACUGCUAAGUGGAAAACGAUGUGGAAAGGCACAGACAGCCAGGAGGUUGGCUUAGAAGCAGCCACCCUUUAAAGAAAGCGUAAUAGCUCACUGGUCGAGUCGGUCUGCGCGGAAGAUUUAACGGGGCUAAGCAGUGAACCGAAGCUUGGGGUGCGUAAAACUUCGGUUUUAUGCGCGGUAGAGGAGCGUUCCGUAAGCCUGCGAAGGUGGAUUGAGAAGUCUGCUGGAGGUAUCGGAAGUGCGAAUGCUGACAUGAGUAACGAUAAUGCGGGUGAAAAGCCCGCACGCCGAAAGCCCAAGGUUUCCUUGCGCAACGUUAAUCGACGCAGGGUUAGUCGGUCCCUAAGGCGAGGGCGAAAGCCGUAGUCGAUGGGAAGCAGGUUAAUAUUCCUGCACCUCGCGUGAGUGCGAUGGAGGGACGGAGAAGGUUAGGUGUACCGGGCGUUGGUUGUCCCGGGGAAAGGCGGUAGGUUUGAAUCUUUGGCAAAUCCGGGAUUCUUUAAGACCGAGCACCGAGACGAGCCUUUAUGGCGAAGUCACUGAUACCACGCUUCCAGGAAAAGCUCCUAAGCUUCAGCUCACGAAGACCGUACCGUAAACCGACACAGGUGGGUAGGAUGAGAAUUCUCAGGCGCUUGAGAGAACUCGGGUGAAGGAACUAGGCAACAUGGCACCGUAACUUCGGGAGAAGGUGCACCCUUUUUGGUGGCUCAUGCGAGCUAUAGCUGAAGAGGGUCGCAGAAACCAGGCCGCUGCGACUGUUUAUCAAAAACACAGCACUCUGCAAACACGAAAGUGGACGUAUAGGGUGUGACGCCUGCCCGGUGCUGGAAGGUUAAUUGAUGGGGUCAGCCGCAAGGCGAAGCUCUUGAUCGAAGCCCCAGUAAACGGCGGCCGUAACUAUAACGGUCCUAAGGUAGCGAAAUUCCUUGUCGGGUAAGUUCCGACCUGCACGAAUGGCGUAACGACAGCGGCGCUGUCUCCACCCGAGACUCAGUGAAAUUGAAAUCGCUGUGAAGAUGCAGCGUUCCCGUGGCAAGACGGAAAGACCCCGUGAACCUUUACUAUAGCUUUACACUGAACGUUGAGUUCGUCUGUGUAGGAUAGGUGGGAGGCUAUGAAACUGUGGCGCUAGCUGC